rnacentral:rRNA from 1 species
UACAGAGACUGCAAGCGUUAUUCGGAUUCACUGGGCGUAAAGGGUGCGUAGGCGGGUCUUUAAGUCAGGGGUGAAAUGCCGAGGCUCAACCUCGGAACUGCCUUGAUACUGGCGAUCUUAGAGUCCGGGAGAGGUGAGUGGAACUCCGAGUGUAGAGGUGAAAUUCGUAGAUAUUCGGAAGAACACCAGUGGCGAAGGCGGCUCACUGGCCCGGUACUGACGCUCAGGUGCGAAAGCGUGGGGGAGCAAACAGGG